AACAGUCUAGUUGUUGGAGCUGUUGAGUCGUGUUUAACCUGUGUGUGUUUCCUUUUCAUUUAUUUGGUACCUCAGAAGCUGCUUCAAUCUCAGGAAGUGUUGAUGAUGUCAUAGACGAUGAUCUGCUCGGAGACCAAAGAGACAAAUAAAGCACUGACCAUCCAUUCCUCCGCUUUGGUCCUGUUGAGAGAAAGAUGUUUCUUUGUCCGACUGAAACUCAACCGGAUAAAUCCUCGUGGUGGACCAGCAUCGGUUUGAGCGUGCCUCGCUUCUUUCCAGCCAUUUUCACAUCUUUGUUUUGCCUUUACAACAUCUCUUGUACCCAGUGCUGCUUUGUUUAAAUGUGAUGUUAUUAUAUUUUGUGUUCAUAAAAUUAAAUCGCCUACAAAAAAAUGGAAACAAAAAGAGAAUGUCAGUAUUAUUGAAAAACACUGUGACAUUAGUUGGUUACAGCCGGGAGACAACGGGUUUGUCCUUUAAAAAAUUGUAUUUUUCUCUCUAAUUGUAUGCUAAUUUAAGUUGAAUAUAUCAGAAUUCAGAAGUUAUAAUAUUUUGAAAAUGAAAAUAUAAUUAUUGAAUGUGGUUCUCAGAUUGUGUUCAGUGUACAAAUAUGGCAUUUGUUGUGUUAUAAGUUGAAGAACUUUUCUUUUUUUCUUCAGUAUGUUAUAUUGCCAUAUAUAACAAUAAAGACUCUAUUUUAUUUCA